rnacentral:misc_RNA from 1 species
UGGCAUGCUUGUGCUGGACCUCUAGUCUCCCUUCCUUUUGUAGGGGAACAAGUUUACUAUUUUCCACAAGGUCACAUAGAACAUGAGCUUGGAGCUCUGGUACAUCAGGAUUUAGAGCAGCAAAUGCCCCCAUCUAAUCUUCCAUCUAAAAUUCUUUGUAAAGUGAUCAAAGUUGAUCUUCAGGCUGACCCUAAAACAGACCAAGUAUGUGCAUAUAUAUCACUGCUUCCUGAGCCUGAUCAAAGAGAGGUUCCUGGUCCCAAUCCUGAAAUCCUGAAACCUGCAGAAAGAUGCAUGAUCCAUUCAUUUCAAAAAACACUUACUGCUUCGGAUGUAAGCAAGCAUGGUAGUUUAUUUAUUUAUCAAAAGCAUGC